rnacentral:rRNA from 1 species
UAUAAGUAUAUAAUUGUUGAACUUUUAUAUUGAUUUUAUAUGAAAUCAAAUCAAUUUGACUAUAUUAUUUUUAAGACCAGUAACUAAUUCCUUUCGUACUAAAGUUUGGCGGUUAGUUCUUUGAUUAUAGAUAGAAACCUUCCUGUCUUACGACGGAAUGAACUCAAAUCAUGUAUGGUUUUAAUGGUCGAACAGACCAACCCUUAAAAGCUGCUGCACCUUUAGGAUACCACAAUUCAACAUCGAGGUGGCAAACAUUUUUAUCGAUAUGAACUCUUCAAAAAUAUUACCCUGUUAUCCCUAUGGUAACUUUUUCUAUAUUCGUUAAUUUAAAUAAAAUUAAUUAACGGGUCAUUAUAUCCUACCAAUAGGUAACUGUUUAAUUUAUAAAUAUUCAGUAAGGCUUUUUAUAUUACUAUAAAACCUUUAGAAUUCCUCUGAUACUAUUUUAGAGGUGGUCGCCCCAACCAAACUAACAAACUUACAAAAAUUUUCGUUAUAUAAAUAUUCAAAUGAGGUUAAUUAUAAGCUUUUAGUAAAGCUCAAUAGGGUCUUUUCGUCUUAUAAUCAUAGGAUAGCAUCUUCACUAUCAUUUCAAUUUAGUUAGAUUUCUUCUUGAGACAGUAAGAGAUUCGUUUAACCAUUCAUUCCAGUCACCAAUUAAAUGACGAGUGAUUAUGCUACUUUAUCACGGUCAGAGUUACCGCGGCUAUUUAACUGUUGUUAUUGUUUAUUAGCAGCCAUUGAGCAGGUUUCACCUUGCAAAUUUGUAGCAGGGCUAUGUUUUUGGUAAACAGUCGAUCUCGUUGUUAGCUGUUAUACUGUUUUGCCGAGUUCCUUAAAAAGAAUUAAAAUUUUUAGUUUCCUACAUUAGUUUGAAAGUACGGUUGUUAGGUCUUACUGAUUUCUAGAACUACAAGUUUUAGUAAAAUACUUUUAGAGUUUUAGAGUCCGUAUAAUUUUUCAAACCCCCAGGAUUAAUAUACUAUUCAUGCUUACAUUAUCUCCAUUAUUUUGAUAAUCUGUUCUACUACCUUUUUAUGAAGUUUCAGGUUUUAUUAGUCACCGUAAUUUGUAAUAAAUAUAUUCUCAAAAACUGCUGUUACGCAUUGAAUGAAAGGUGGCUGCUUCCAAGCCAACUUGUUUUGUAUUAUCACUUUUUUAUGUGGUGCACUUAUCUUGUCAGUGUCUUUAACUUUCAUAGAGAGUUGUUUCUCUUUCAACCAUCAAUCUUGUCAUUAAUAGUUUGUGGUUAUGAUUGUUAUUACAUGUUAUUUAGGUAAAUAAACAUGUAAUAUUUCAUUCUUUCUCUUAUAAGAAUUUCGUAGAAAACCAGCUAUUUCUAAGUUCGAUUAGUAUUUUACCUCUACUCCAAAAUCUUCCGAAGCUUUUGCAACAGCUAUCGGUUUGUACAGAAUACUGUUCUGGAGUUGAACACUUAGUUUCGGGAAAAUUUGAUUUGUGUUUUUGAAAUGAAUUACAAUUAAUUUACCAAAUUGUUUCUUGUAAGCCCAUUAUACAAAAGGUACGUUGAAUCACAACAGGCUUUUUAAGAGAUUGUGGAUUAUAAUAUUUUUCCUUCACAGUACUAUCAAUAUUAGUCUUGACAUAAUUCACUUAGAUUUUAUAUUAACCGUAUGUUAAUUUAUGUGUAUAUAAUUUCGCUCGCCGCUACUUUUAUAUCUUUAUUCUAUUUAAUAUAAGAUGUUUCUUCUAAAGAUGUAAAUAAACAUUUUUGACACCAUUAAGCUCCCUUGUAAUUUUUUAGGGAAAAAGUUUCCUAGCGAAGGUGGUAGAUGACAAGCUUAUAAUCUU